rnacentral:rRNA from 2 species
GGGGCACGGGCGGGUGCCUAUACAUGCAGUCGAACGAGUUCUCGUUGAUGAUCGGUGCUUGCACCGAGAUUCAACAUGGAACGAGUGGCGGACGGGUGAGUAACACGUGGGUAACCUGCCCUUAAGUGGGGGAUAACAUUUGGAAACAGAUGCUAAUACCGCAUAGAUCCAAGAACCGCAUGGUUCUUGGCUGAAAGAUGGCGUAAGCUAUCGCUUUUGGAUGGACCCGCGGCGUAUUAGCUAGUUGGUGAGGUAAUGGCUCACCAAGGCGAUGAUACGUAGCCGAACUGAGAGGUUGAUCGGCCACAUUGGGACUGAGACACGGCCCAAACUCCUACGGGAGGCAGCAGUAGGGAAUCUUCCACAAUGGACGCAAGUCUGAUGGAGCAACGCCGCGUGAGUGAAGAAGGCUUUCGGGUCGUAAAACUCUGUUGUUGGAGAAGAAUGGUCGGCAGAGUAACUGUUGUCGGCGUGACGGUAUCCAACCAGAAAGCCACGGCUAACUACGUGCCAGCAGCCGCGGUAAUACGUAGGUGGCAAGCGUUAUCCGGAUUUAUUGGGCGUAAAGCGAGCGCAGGCGGUUUUUUAAGUCUGAUGUGAAAGCCCUCGGCUUAACCGAGGAAGCGCAUCGGAAACUGGGAAACUUGAGUGCAGAAGAGGACAGUGGAACUCCAUGUGUAGCGGUGAAAUGCGUAGAUAUAUGGAAGAACACCAGUGGCGAAGGCGGCUGUCUGGUCUGUAACUGACGCUGAGGCUCGAAAGCAUGGGUAGCGAACAGGAUUAGAUACCCUGGUAGUCCAUGCCGUAAACGAUGAAUGCUAGGUGUUGGAGGGUUUCCGCCCUUCAGUGCCGCAGCUAACGCAUUAAGCAUUCCGCCUGGGGAGUACGACCGCAAGGUUGAAACUCAAAGGAAUUGACGGGGGCCCGCACAAGCGGUGGAGCAUGUGGUUUAAUUCGAAGCAACGCGAAGAACCUUACCAGGUCUUGACAUCUUUUGAUCACCUGAGAGAUCAGGUUUCCCCUUCGGGGGCAAAAUGACAGGUGGUGCAUGGUUGUCGUCAGCUCGUGUCGUGAGAUGUUGGGUUAAGUCCCGCAACGAGCGCAACCCUUAUGACUAGUUGCCAGCAUUUAGUUGGGCACUCUAGUAAGACUGCCGGUGACAAACCGGAGGAAGGUGGGGAUGACGUCAAAUCAUCAUGCCCCUUAUGACCUGGGCUACACACGUGCUACAAUGGAUGGUACAACGAGUUGCGAGACCGCGAGGUCAAGCUAAUCUCUUAAAGCCAUUCUCAGUUCGGACUGUAGGCUGCAACUCGCCUACACGAAGUCGGAAUCGCUAGUAAUCGCGGAUCAGCACGCCGCGGUGAAUACGUUCCCGGGCCUUGUACACACCGCCCGUCACACCGAUGAGAGUUUGUAACACCCGAAGCCGGUGGCGUAACCCUUUUAGGGAGCGAGCCGUCCUAAGGGAACCAAAAUUU